GGGAGAUCUCCGGCUCGGAGUGAAGGCCUCGGCGGCUAGGGCGACCGGGGCCGGGGCUGGAGCUCCAGGGACACGUACCUCUCACUCUCCCUGGACACCUAUCUCUCACUCUAUGAACACGUACCUCUCACUCUCUGAACACGUACCUCUCAUCCUCUGUGGACACAUACCUCUCACUCUCGGAGGUGACACUGGGCUUCUCGACGACGGGCAUCUCGACGGAGUGUCUCUCUUUUUCUCUAACGAAGCAGUGGCUAUUCAGUAUCGUCUGUAGGUGUGAUUUGACCAUCCGCCCGACCUCCUCUCUCAGAUA